GUGCUCACUUCGGCAGCACAUAUACUAAAAUUGGAAUGAUACAGAGAAGAUUAGCCCCUGCGAAAGGAUGGCACGCAAAUUCGUUAAGCGUUCCAUAUUUUU